rnacentral:tRNA from 1 species
GGCACAGUGGCAGAGUGGUCUAAUGCGGUAGACUAGAAAUCUACUCUCUUCGGAGGCAACGGUUCAAAUCCGUUCUGUGUCG